ACCGUGGUGGUGCAGCGUUAGCAUGCGUCCCGGUUAUGGAUGAAACGCGGGUUUGACUCCCGUCUGAGGUC